UUUGUCUGACUGGGCCUCUUGAAAGUCUCUCUUUGCAUUCCAGCGCCUGGAGGAGGGGGGUUGGAGCAGCCAGGCUUAUUACCGGAGCGAGAGAAAGAGGGAGGGAGAAGAGGAGGGGGGUUGAAAGAAGCUGGAAGAUAUUAUGGACUAUUUCCUUGCCUAGAAACCCAGCGCUUGUUCCCUCCCACUCAGCCGGCAAGUUUUACAACAAAAGUGGAGAAAACGCUGAAAACUUGAACCUGCUGCUCUCCUCCGGCUGCCUCGGCCUUCCUAGCUUGUUUUCUUUCCCCGCCGCUGCCUGCGCAUGUUUCUCGCUCUCCUGCUCCCACCCUCCCUCUGCCUCCUUCUCUGGGCUGCAUGUAAGGAGAUCACUUUGUUUCCGUAGCCUUUUUCCGCGGUGUUGCAGACACACAUGGAGAAGAGGAUUGAAUUUGAGGAGAUAGUGACAGGGUGGGAGGUGGGUGAGGCGGGGAGGGGCUGGUGGUGUUUCACAGCUGCAAGAAUCCCCUCCAUCUUCCCCACACCAGGGCUAAUGCUCCCCUCCCUCUCCCGCUCUCUUCUCGGGGUGUUUGACUCUCCCUCCGCCGCGCUGUCUCUGCUUUCUGCCUGUCGGAGGGGUGGGGGUGCCAUAUGGAAGCUCCAAAAAAUUUAAGCGGAUCGGAGAUAAAGCGAGAGGAAUCUUACAUUUGCGAGCUCAGAUGUCGGGAACUAUGUGGGCGGUGAACUUCCGAUUUGUCUCGGCAGAAAGUCCUUGCCCAGUACACAUUCAUGGGUAAGUCAGCCCAGUCCUCUCUCCAUCUGUUUGAUGAACUUUGAUUGUUUGCGUUGACUUUUAAGGAAUUGUUCCAGAACUGUGUGAACGCUAAAGAGAAGAGUUGCUGCCAAAACACCCUCUAGCACAUUCGGCCAGAAAUGUUUUUGUGAUGACGUUAUUUAGUGUCACAUCAGUACAUCAGUAGCCUUUUGCCCAGUUAUUUUGGUACUUUGCCCAUGACCAUUUGGCACAAACCCGUAGAUCCGAUCUUGUGGCAAAUCUAACAGCACAAGCUCGCUUCUGUGGGUCUUUGUCACUGUGGUGUGAACAUCGUCCUUUGACUUUUUGUUUGUUUUUCGUUUCACAUAACAGACCCAUAACGCGUGUGGAAACUGGAAGCUUGGUUGUCUUAGCUUUGUUGAAGAUGGAGAUGCACCGUGUGUUUUUACAAAGCUGCCUAUUCAGAAUCCUCUGAUUUCAGAAUCUCUUUGGAAAUUUAAGAAGAUAUAAAAUAACGACAUACACAACACCUUUGUACCUUGAGUGGUCAUUAAUUAUUUAUAUUUGGAGCAGAGUGUGAGAGAGCAAACGUUACAAAACAGGAUUCUUUGAACAUUUACCAACAAACAGAGCUUGCAUUUUAAAUUAUUAGUACUCAAAUUAGCAAUUAGCGGAGUUAGGAUAGUUAACAUUAAUGAAGCAUUAAUCUUUGUGAGUAAUUCUGAGAUUUCCAAAACAGUUUCACACACAUCUCUUUUAAGUCUUCAUCUCUUUCACACUCUUUGGCAAUUAUUUCAAGUUUUCUUUUAAAUAGUUUCUGACUUCCUUUGUAAACAUCUCAGUGGAGCUGAAAAUGGCUAACUCUCCUCACUUUAUAACAACUUCCACACCAAACAGCAUUGUCGUCUUCUAAACUCCGUAGCAUUUAUGUGUGGUGCUUUCACCGAUCAGAAAACAUGCCCAGUCUGUGAAUCGGGUCGGAUCAGGGUGAAAAAUGAUCCCGGAUCUCCAGCUGAAUUCUCGGUGCAUCUCCAGUUCUAGAUCAAGAGUCUGCAACCUUUUCAAACCAAAGAUGCAUUUUUUGCCCUCAGUCCGGCUACAUGAGACUAGUUUACAGCUGCAACUGUUACACACAUUUUCAGAAAUAUCUACAUGAAAUUUCUCAUUAAAUAAACUAUUUUAUUUCUACUUAUAGGUUUUACGAUAGAGGAAAAUAUAAAACUUAAGCAACAAAAGGAUGGAUAAAUAUUAUUCUAUGUGAUGUUGAUGUUUGUGGAAUUAAAGAAAUUAAAGAAAAAAAAAUACACAUAGCUUCUAACCCAAUAAAUAGUCAAGUUAAUUUUUUUAAUAAUCUAUUUUUUAUGUGAUAUUGUUGUGGAAACUGAAUGCAAAAA